rnacentral:lncRNA from 1 species
CAAAGGAGGAGCUGAGAGAUUUCUGUUUGAACACGUGACAGUUCACAUAGGCGCCCAACAAGCCUGGGAUAUUCAUCUGCUGUUGCCUUUAGGAUUCUAGGGAUCUCUUUCAGAAAGCAAAGUGGAGAUACUGAAGAUGGAUGUUGGCGUGCACUGAACUUUGAAAAUCUGCCCCCUUGGUAGCUAUGACAACUAGUGAUGGAUUCUGGGGUAUCACAAGCAAAUAUGAAAGGUUAUUUAGAAGAUUCUCAUUGCCUCUGACAAGCAAAUUGGAUCUAGACACUUCUGUUUGAGAAUAUGAAACAAAAGGAAGAAUGUGUGUGGAUUUAAAAUUACUGUAUUUAUCAAGUUGUUGUGGUGUGAGAAGUACUGGGGAAAUAGUUUGUUCUGUUGCUCAUUGUAGA